GACGAACGCUGGCGGCGUGCCUAAUACAUGCAAGUCGAGCGGAGCAGGAAGCGAGCGUAAGCAAGCAGAGAGCUUAGCGGCGAACGGGUGAGUAACACGUAGGUAACCUAGCGAUAAGACAGGGAUAACUUUCGGAAACGGGAGCUAAUACCAGAUAGUCUUUUCCUUCGCAUGAGGGAAAAGGGAAAGGCGGAGCAAUCUGCCGCUUAUGGAUGGACCUGCGGCGCAUUAGCUAGUUGGAGAGGUAACGGCUGACCAAGGCGACGAUGCGUAUCCGACCUGAGAGGGUGAACGGACACAGUAGGACUGAGAUACGGCCCAGACUCCUACGGGAGGCAGCAGUAGGGAAUCUUCCGCAAUGGACGAAAGUCUGACGGAGCAACGCCGCGUGAGUGAAGAAGGUUUUCGGAUCGUAAAGCUCUGUUGCUAGGGAAGAAAACUAUGGAGAGUAACUGCUCGAUAGAAGACGGUACCUAAGAAGAAAGCCCCGGCUAACUACGUGCCAGCCGCCGCCGUAA
rnacentral:rRNA from 1 species